rnacentral:rRNA from 1 species
CGAGUGGCGGACGGGUGAGUAACGCGUGAAUAAUCUGUCCCAGUACAGGGGGAUAACGCAUCGAAAGAUGUGCUAAUACCGCGUAGGACCACGGGGUCGCAUGGCUCUGAGGUGAAAGGAGCAAUCCAGUAUGGGGUGAGUUCGCGUCUGAUUAGAUAGUUGGUGAGGUAACGGCCCACCAAGUCAACGAUCAGUAGCCGACCUGAGAGGGUGAUCGGCCACAUUGGGACUGAGACACGGCCCAGACUCCUACGGGAGGCAGCAGUGGGGAAUAUUGGGCAAUGGGCGAAAGCCUGACCCAGCAACGCCGCGUGAAGGAAGAAGGUUUUCGGAUUGUAAACUUCUGUCCUAUGUGAAGAGAAGUAGACGGUAGCAUAGGAGGAAGCCCCGGCUAACUACGUGCCAGCCGCCGC